rnacentral:rRNA from 1 species
GAGUGGCGAACUGGUGAGUAACACGUGGGAAACCUGCCCAGAAGCGGGGGAUAACACCUGGAAACAGAUGCUAAUACCGCAUAACAACUUGGACCGCAUGGUCCGAGUUUGAAAGAUGGCUUCGGCUAUCACUUUUGGAUGGUCCCGCGGCGUAUUAGCUAGAUGGUGGGGUAACGGCUCACCAUGGCAAUGAUACGUAGCCGACCUGAGAGGGUAAUCGGCCACAUUGGGACUGAGACACGGCCCAAACUCCUACGGGAGGCAGCAGUAGGGAAUCUUCCACAAUGGACGAAAGUCUGAUGGAGCAACGCCGCGUGAGUGAAGAAGGGUUUCGGCUCGUAAAACUCUGUUGUUAAAGAAGAACAUAUCUGAGAGUAACUGUUCAGGUAUUGACGGUAUUUAACCAGAAAGCCACGGCUAACUACGUGCCAGCAGCCGCGGUAAUACGUAGGUGGCAAGCGUUGUCCGGAUUUAUUGGGCGUAAAGCGAGCGCAGGCGGUUUUUUAAGUCUGAUGUGAAAGCCUUCGGCUCAACCGAAGAAGUGCAUCGGAAACUGGGAAACUUGAGUGCAGAAGAGGACAGUGGAACUCCNUGUGUAGCGGUGAAAUGCGUAGAUAUAUGGAAGAACACCAGUGGCGAANGCGGCUGUCUGGUCUGUAACUGACGCUGAGGCUCGAAAGUNUGGGUAGCAAACAGGNUUAGAUACCCUGGUAGUCCAUACCGUAAACGAUGAAUGCUAAGUGUUGGAGGGUUUCCGCCCUUCAGUGCUGCAGCUAACGCAUUAAGCAUUCCGCCUGGGGAGUACGGCCGCAAGGCUGAAACUCAAAGGAAUUGACGGGGGCCCGCACAAGCGGUGGAGCAUGUGGUUUAAUUCGAAGCUACGCGAAGAACCUUACCAGGUCUUGACAUACUAUGCAAAUCUNAGAGAUUANACGUUCCCUUCGGGGACAUGGAUACAGGUGGUGCAUGGUUGUCGUCAGCUCGUGUCGUGAGAUGUUGGGUUAAGUCCCGCAACGAGCGCAACCCUUAUUAUCAGUUGCCAGCAUUAAGUUGGGCACUCUGGUGAGACUGCCGGUGACAAACCGGAGGAAGGUGGGGAUGACGUCAAAUCAUCAUGCCCCUUAUGACCUGGGCUACACACGUGCUACAAUGGAUGGUACAACGAGUUGCGAACUCGCGAGAGUAAGCUAAUCUCUUAAAGCCNUUCUCAGUUCGGAUUGUAGGCUGCAACUCGCCUACNUGAAGUCGGAAUCGCUAGUAAUCGCGGAUCANCAUGCCGCGGUGAAUACNUUCCCGGGCCUUGUACACACCGCCCGUCACACCAUGAGAGUUUGUAACACCCAAAGUCGGUGGG